GGUGUGUUUUUUUAAAAUUAGUUUGAAGUUGCUAGACUAUUUCAUAUUUCAAAGUCUGACUGUAUUUCAUGUCCUUCUCCAACUUUUCAGAACCACAUAAUUAAAUGUAUGGGUUUUCAAGGUUGAAAAUAUUCUCCCAUUAGCGGAGUUCACCUUUACCAACCCUACAAAGCAGUUAACAGGAAGUACGUGAUUACGUAUUCGUUUAUCAGAUAAUGGGAAGGAUUGAGAGUGAUUUGCAUCUUCUGACUGACAGUACUGACUGCGUUAAGCCAGAAGCUAGCUAACUUCCUUGCCUGCUUGUCCAUGUGGUAGCUGUAGGCUGUUAUUUAUUGAAAUAGAAAUAAAUUGGAACAAAUAUCAAUAAUGUGCUAUCUGAUAAGUAUCUUGCACACUGCUGAAUCUAACCUUACGAAAUCAGGUUUGAUUUCCCUUACUAAACUUUUGGUCUGGAUACAAAUUCAUGGAUUUUCCCCCUCAGUGUUAGUAACCUCUAGUAUUCUACCAGAACACACAGAAUCUUCAUAUACUCAAACAACUUUCUAGCCCUGUUCCUUAGGGGAAGAUGAUGGGAAGCAAAUGUAUGUGAGGCAAGCAUGGUAACUGUUAACCAUAGAAACGGCCUGGUGGCUAACAUGGUAACUGUUAACCAUAGAAACAGCCUGGUGGCUAACAUGGUAACUGUUAACCAUAGAAACAGCCUGGUGGCUAACAUGGUAACUGUUAACCAUAGAAACGGCCUGGUGGCUAACAUGGUAACUGCUAACUGCAGAAAUGGCCUGAUGGUUCAGGAAAUUUAUGAAAGUUUCAAAGAAACUUGAAAAACUAAAAAAAAAAAAAAAAAAAAAAAAAAUGCACAUAUUUACACUCUAGUUGUUACUUAGAAAUUUGUUUUCAGCAUGCUUUCCCCAGACAUAUGUCUUCUUUAGAUAAUAUUACCACAUAAAUUAGAGAUGAAGACAAUUCUAAAACAGUGAUAUAAGAACACACUGCUGUAAUUAUGUAAAUAUACAAUUACCUGUCCAGAAGUGUCUCAUGUAAAAAUCCAUCUUUCCGAGCCUUUUUAAGAAUUUUACUAUCUUCUUUGCUUAUUUUGAGUUUGUGGUCCUGGAAGCUCUGAAAUUUCUUUCUGUAAAGAAAGAUCUCUCAU
rnacentral:lncRNA from 1 species